UACGAAGGGGGCUAGCGUUGUUCGGAAUUACUGGGCGUAAAGCGCACGUAGGCGGACAUUUAAGUCAGGGGUGAAAUCCUGGAGCUCAACUCCAGAACUGCCUUUGAUACUGGCGAUCUCGAGUUCGGGAGAGGUGAGUGGAACUGCGAGUGUAGAGGUGAAAUUCGUAGAUAUUCGCAAGAACACCAGUGGCGAAGGCGGCUCACUGGCCCGAUACUGACGCUGAGGUGCGAAAGCGUGGGGAGCAAACAGGG
rnacentral:rRNA from 1 species